UUUCCGUAGGUAUGUAUUAAAAAUCCCAUCCCUAAAAUAAUAAAGUCAACAUAUACUAACAUAUCUUCUAGGUGAACCUGCGGAAGGAUCAUUAAUGAUUGACCCUCUGGGUCUUAUCUUAACAUCCCUCACCUCUGUGAACCGUUUGACCUCCGGGUCUUACAACCUAUAACAAACAUCAGUGUAAAGAACGUCUUGUUAUCUUAACAAAAACAAAACUUUCAACAACGGAUCUCUUGGCUCUCGCAUCGAUGAAGAACGCAGC
rnacentral:misc_RNA from 1 species